AGAGUUUGAUCCUGGCUCAGAACGAACGCUGGCGGCAGGCUUAACACAUGCAAGUCGAGCGGGUGCGCGAUUCAGCAAUGGAUUGCGCGUCAGCGGCGGACGGGUGAGUAACGCGUGGGAACAUACCCUUUGGUUCGGAAUAACUUGAGGAAACUCGGGCUAAUACCGGAUACGCCCAGGAGGAAUCUUGGGGAAAGAUU
rnacentral:rRNA from 1 species